rnacentral:rRNA from 1 species
AGCAGCCGCGGUAAUUCCAGCUCCAAUAGCGUAUAUUAAAGUUGUUGCAGUUAAAAAGCUCGUAGUUGAAUUUCGGGAUCAAUAUGUCGGUCGUGCCUUCGGUACGUACCGGUAUCAUUGGUCUCUCCUUUCUGACGAACCAUGAUGUCAUUAAUUUGGUGUUAUGGGGAGUUAGGACUGUUACUUUGAAAAAAUUAGAGUGUUUAAAGCAGGCUUUAGCUUGAAUACAUUAGCAUGGAAUAAUGAAAUAGGACGUUCGAACCUAUUUUGUUGGUUUCUAGGAUCAACGUAAUGAUUAAUAGGGAUAGUUGGGGGCAUUAGUAUUCAAUUGUCAGAGGUGAAAUUCCUGGAUUUAUUGAAGACUAACUACUGCGAAAGCAUUUGCCAAGGAUGUUUUCAUUAAUCAAGAACGAAAGUUAGGGGAUCGAAGACGAUCAGAUACCGUCGUAGUCUUAACCAUAAACUAUGCCGACUAGGGAUCGGAUGAUGUUAAUUUUUUAAUGACUCA